UACGUAGGGUGCAAGCGUUAAUCGGAAUACUGGGCGUAAAGCGUGCGCAGGCGGUUCGCUAAGACAGAUGUGAAAUCCCCGGGCUUAACCUGGGAACUGCAUUUGUGACUGGCGGGCUAGAGUAUGGCAGAGGGGGGUAGAAUUCCACGUGUAGCAGUGAAAUGCGUAGAGAUGUGGAGGAAUACCGAUGGCGAAGGCAGCCCCCUGGGCCAAUACUGACGCUCAUGCACGAAAGCGUGGGGAGCAAACAGG
rnacentral:rRNA from 1 species